rnacentral:rRNA from 1 species
CCUACGGGGUGCUGCAGUGAGGAAUAUUGGUCAAUGGACGAGAGUCUGAACCAGCCAAGUAGCGUGAAGGAUGACUGCCCUAUGGGUUGUAAACUUCUUUUAUAUGGGAAUAAAAUGUUCCACGUGUGGGAUUUUGUAUGUACCAUAUGAAUAAGGAUCGGCUAACUCCGUGCCAGCAGCCGCGGUAAUACGGAGGAUCCGAGCGUUAUCCGGAUUUAUUGGGUUUAAAGGGUGCGUAGGUGGAUUGUUAAGUCAGUUGUGAAAGUUUGCGGCUCAACCGUAAAAUUGCAGUUGAAACUGGCAGUCUUGAGUGCAGUAGAGGUGGGCGGAAUUCGUGGUGUAGCGGUGAAAUGCUUAGAUAUCACGAAGAACUCCGAUUGCGAAGGCAGUUCACUGGACUGCAACUGACGCUGAGGCACGAAAGUGUGGGUAUCAAACAGGAUUAGAUACCCUGGUAGUC